rnacentral:rRNA from 1 species
AUUGAACGCUGGCGGCAGGCCUAACACAUGCAAGUCGAGCGGAGCGGCGGACGGGUGAGUAAUGCCUAGGAAUCUGCCUGGUAGUGGGGGAUAACGUCCGGAAACGGGCCCUAAUCCCGCUAACUAUCAGUUGGGCCUGGGUCGGAUUGGCAAGUUGGUGGGGUAAAGGCCUACCAAGGCGACGAUCCGUACCUGGUCUGAGAGGAUGAUCAGUCACACUGGAACUGAGACACGGUCCAGACUCCUACGGGAGGCAGCAGUGGGGAAUAUUGGACAAUGGGCGAAAGCCUGAUCCAGCCAUGCCGCGUGUGUGAAGAAGGUCUUCGGAUUGUAAAGCACUUUAAGUUGGGAGGCGUUACCAACAGAAUAAGCACCGGCUAACUUCGUGCCAGCCGCCGCGGUAAUUC